rnacentral:misc_RNA from 1 species
CGCACAUUGCGCCCCGUGGUAUUCCGCGGGGCAUGCCUGUUCGAGCGUCAUUACACCACUCAAGCCUCGCUUGGUAUUGGGCGACGCGGUACGCCGCGCGCCUCAAAUCUUUCGGCUGGGUCUGAAUCGUCCCUCAGCGUUGUGGAAACUAUUCGCUAAAGGGUUCGCGUUCGGUCACGCCGUUAAACAAAACCAUUUUCAUUAAAGGUUGACCUCGGAUCAGGUAGGGAUACCCGCUGAACUUAA